UACAGAGGUCCCAAGCGUUGUUCGGAUUCACUGGGCGUAAAGGGUGCGUAGGUGGUGAGGUAAGUCGGAUGUGAAAGCUCGGAGCUCAACUCCGAAAUGGCAUUGGAAACUACCUUGCUCGAGGGUUGGAGGGGGGACUGGAAUACUUGGUGUAGCAGUGAAAUGCGUAGAUAUCAAGUGGAACACCAGUGGCGAAGGCGAGUCCCUGGACGAUACCUGACACUGAGGCACGAAAGCCAAGGGAGCAAACAGG
rnacentral:rRNA from 1 species